GUGGUUAUAACUCAGGGGUAGAGUGUGUGCUUCGCAUGCACAAGGUCCUGGGUUCAAUCUCCAGUACCAAUA
rnacentral:tRNA from 1 species